UCGAGGAUAUUUAGCAAUGGGCGAAAGCCUGACUAUGUGACGCCGCGUGAGGGAUGAAGGUUUUCGGAUCGUAAACCUCUUUCGAUGGGGAAGAAACUUCCGCCGUAAUGGGCGGAACUGACGGUACCUAGAGAAGAAGCCACGGCCAACUCCGUGCCAGCAGCCGCGGUAAUACGGGGGUGGCGAGCGUUACUCGGAUUUAUUGGGUGUAAAGGGCAGGUAGGUGUCCCACUAAGUUAGAAGUGAAAUCCUGCAGCUCAACUGCAGAACUGCUUUUAAAACUGAUGGGAUUGAGGACAGGAGAGGAGAGCGGAAUUCCCGGUGUAAGGGUGAAAUCUGUAGAGAUCGGGAGGAACACCUGUGGCGAAAGCGGCUCUCUGGUCUGUCCCUGACGCUGAACUGCGAAAGCUAGGGGAGCAAACA
rnacentral:rRNA from 1 species